ACCAGGAUGGCCGAGUGGUUAAGGUGUUGGACUUAAAAUCCAAUGGACACAUGUGGGUUUGAACCCUGCUCCUGGUA